rnacentral:rRNA from 1 species
AUGUAUAACUAUAAGAAAAAGGAAGGGAAAUUGUAUAAGAUUAAAAAGCUCGUGGGUUAGACAUAUAGAAAAGAAAAAGUAGAAAAGGAUAAAAAAGAGGGAAUUCCUAAUCCAAUCAAAAAACCCAUUUUGGUCUUAGAGUGGAUAGAGGAUCUUCCUAUGUUAUAUUAUAUAACUCUCAUCCAUGAAUUGAUUUGA